rnacentral:rRNA from 1 species
CCUACGGGAGGCAGCAGUGGGGAAUAUUGGUCAAUGGGCGCAAGCCUGAAGCAGCCACGUCGCGUGAAGGAUGACUGCCCUACGGGUUGUAAGCUUCGUUUAUAAAGGAAUAAAGUGAGGCACGUGUGCCUUUUUGUAUGUCCUUUAUGAAUAAGGAUCGGCUAACUCCGUGCCAGCAGCCGCGGUAAUACGGAGGAUCCGGGCGUUAUCCGGAUUUAUUGGGUGUAAAGGGAGCGUAGAUGGGUUGUUAAGUCAGUUGUGAAAGUUUGCGGCUCAACCGUAAAAUUGCAAUUGAUACUGGCAGCCUUGAGUACAGGUGAGGUAGGCGGAAUUCGUGGUGUAGCGGUGAAAUGCUUAGAUAUCACGAAGAACUCCGAUUGCGAAGGCAGCUUACUAAACUGCCACUGACAUUGAUGCUCGAAAGUGUGGGUAGCAAACAGGAUUAGAUACCCGUGUAGUC